rnacentral:tRNA from 1 species
GCCUUCGUGGUGUAGUGGUCAGCACGCUCGACGCGCAUUCGAGAGGUCCGUGGUUCGAAUCCCGGCGAGGGAA